AACUAUAUAUAGCAGCAAAUAAAAAAAGGAACAAGUGAAUGAAAAUUUGUAUGGAGUUACUUUAUAGACUGACAUGUAUACCAAUCAUUGGCAUGACCGCCUACCUUUUCUAGAUUAAAACUGCCGAUCAUAAUCGGACGCAGACGAGAAAUGAAUCGGCCAAUUGGAUGCACCGGACAAGCGGAGUAGACGGCGAGCCAAUAGACGAGCCAAUAGCCGAUCCAAACGGAUAAAACUCGUCUCUUUACGUGGGCGCGUUAGAGCAUCUCCAGCCGUUUGGGCCCAGCGCAAGCGGCGAAUGCCUUUUUGGUGUUGUGCCAACGCUUUUUCGCCCUAGGGGCGAGCGAGUUUCCAGCCGCGCCCCCAGGUUUCGGUCCCCAGACGCUAACAUUUUCAAAAUCGUCUUUCCCGCUGCCAAAAAUACGCCAUGAGUUCGGCGAUCAUGCCACAAGUCGACGAUCAGCAUUGCCAUAAUU
rnacentral:lncRNA from 1 species